CACAGGUGGAUGAGGAGAGAAUCCUAAGGCCGGCGGAAGAAGCAUUGUUAAGGAACUCGGCAAAAUGACCCCGUAACUUCGGGAGAAGGGGUGCCAACGAGAGUUGGCCGCAGAGAAUAGGCUCAAGCAACUGUUUAGCAAAAACACAGGUCUAUGCAAAACCGAAAGGUGAGGUAUAUGGGCUGACGCCUGCCCGGUGCUGGAAGGUUAAGGGGAGAGGUUAGCGCAAGCGAAGCUUUGAACUUAAGCCCCAGUAAACGGCGGCCGUAACUAUAACGGUCCUAAGGUAGCGAAAUUCCUUGUCGGGUAAGUUCCGACCCGCACGAAAGGCGUAAUGAUUUGAGCGCUGUCUCGACAAUGCAUCCGGUGAAAUUGAAGUACCAGUGAAGAUGCUGGUUACCUGCGCCAGGACGGAAAGACCCCAUGGAGCUUUACUCCAGUUUGGUACUGGGGUCCGGCAGUGCAUGUACAGGAUAGGUGGGAGGCUGUGAACCUGGAACGCCAGUUUCAGGGGAGCCAUUGUUGGGAUACCACCCUUGUGCUGCUGGGCUUCUAACCAGCGGCCUUUAUCAGGCCGGGGGACAAUGCCAGACGGGGAGUUUGACUGGGGCGGUCGCCUCCGAAAGGGUAUCGGAGGCGCUCAAAGGUUCCCUCAGAAUGGUCGGAAACCAUUCGAAGAGUGCAAAGGCAGAAGGGAGCUUGACUGCGACACCGACGGGUGGAGCAGGUACGAAAGUAGGACUUAGUGAUCCGGUGGUAUAAAGUGGGAUUGCCAUCGCUCAACGGAUAAAAGCUACCCUGGGGAUAACAGGCUUAUCACUCCCAAGAGUUCACAUCGACGGAGUGGUUUGGCACCUCGAUGUCGGCUCAUCGCAUCCUGGGGCUGUAGUAGGUCCCAAGGGUUGGGCUGUUCGCCCAUUAAAGCGGUACGCGAGCUGGGUUCAGAACGUCGUGAGACAGUUCGGUCCCUAU
rnacentral:rRNA from 1 species